UGAGCGAAGCAAGGAAAGUCUACAUCUUACACGGCAUAAGGGAUGAUUUGCGGGUGGAUGGAAGAGGCUGUGAGGACUACAGACACAUGGAAAUAGAGACAGAUGUGGUGUCCAACACAGACGGAUCAGCUAAAGCCACUGGGGGACACAGCAGUUCUUGUUGGGAUCAAGGCUGAAAUUGGCAAACCGAGGCCAAUGAUACCAAACGAGGGAUACCUGGAGUUCUUUGU